rnacentral:rRNA from 1 species
GACGAACGCUGGCGGCGUGCUUAACACAUGCAAGUCGAACGGAAAGGCCCUUCGGGGUACUCGAUUGGCGAACGGGUGAGUAACACGUUGGUGAUCUGCCCUGCACUCUGGGAUAAGCCUGGGAAACUUGGUCUAAUACCCAAAAGGACCAUGCGCUUCGUUGUGUGUUGUGGUAUGCUUUUGCGGUGUGGUAUGUGCCCGCGGCCUAUCACCUUGUUGGUGGUGUAAUGUCGUACAAAGGCGACGUCGAGUAGCCGGCCUGAGAGGGUGACCGGCCACACUGGGACUGAGGAACGGACCAGACGGAUACGGGAGGCAGGGGUGGGGCAUAUUGCACGAAGGGCCGAAGCAGGAUGCAGCGACGCCGGGUGAGGGAUGACGGCUGUAGGGUUGUAAACCGCGUGCAAUAGGAACGAAGCGCCAGUGACGGUACCUAUAGAAGAAGCGCCGGCCAACUACGUG